rnacentral:rRNA from 1 species
CAUGGCUCAGGACGAACGCUGGCGGCGUGCCUAAUACAUGCAAGUAGAACGCUGAAGCUUGGUGCUUGCACCGAGCGGAUGAGUUGCGAACGGGUGAGUAACGCGUAGGUAACCUGCCUGGUAGCGGGGGAUAACUAUUGGAAACGAUAGCUAAUACCGCAUGAUAUUGAUUAUUGCAUGAUAGUCAAUUAAAAGGUGCAAUUGCAUCACUACCAGAUGGACCUGCGUUGUAUUAGCUAGUUGGUGAGGUAACGGCUCACCAAGGCAACGAUACAUAGCCGACCUGAGAGGGUGAUCGGCCACACUGGGACUGAGACACGGCCCAGACUCCUACGG